rnacentral:rRNA from 1 species
AUACGUAGGGGGCGAGCGUUGUCCGGAAUGAUUGGGCGUAAAGGGCGCGUAGGCGGCGCGGUAAGUCUGGAGUGAAAGUCCUGCUUUCAAGGUGGGAAUUGCUUUGGAUACUGCCGCGCUUGAGUGCAGGAGAGGUUAUCGGAAUUCCCGGUGUAGCGGUGAAAUGCGUAGAGAUCGGGAGGAACACCAGUGGCGAAGGCGACUUACUGGACUGUAACUGACGCUGAGGCGCGAAAGUGUGGGGAGCAAACAGGAUUAGAUACCCUGGUAGUCCACACUGUAAACGAUGAAUGCUAGGUGUAGGGGGUAUCGACCCCUUCUGUGCCGCAGUCAACACAAUAAGCAUUCCGCCUGGGGAGUACGGCCGCAAGGUUGAAACUCAAAGGAAUUGACGGGG